rnacentral:rRNA from 1 species
AGAUUGAAGAUUAGAUUAUUAGAGGAGGUAGGAUUAGUGUAGCGGUGAAAUGCUAGAUAUCUGAGGAUACCGGUGGCGAGGCGGCCUCCUGACAGAGACUGACGUGAGAGCGAAAGCGUGGGAGCAAACAGGAUAGAUACCUGGUAGUCCACGCCGUAAACGAGUCAAUUAGAAGCAUGUGGCCGUGAGUUGUGUGUUUUAAGUAACGCGAUAAAUUGACCGCUUGGGGAGUACGGUCGCAAGGUUGAAAUCAAAGGAAUUGACGGGGCCCGCACAAGCGGAGGAACAUGUGGUUUAAUUCGAUGAUACGCGAGGAACCUUACCCGGGCUCGAACGGCAAGUGAAGAGAUUCAGAGAUGAUGACGUCCUUCGGGACACUUGUCGAGGUGCUGCAUGGUUGUCGUCAGCUCGUGCCGUGAGGUGUCGGCUCAAGUGCCAUAACGAGCGCAACCCUUGCCGUCAGUUACCAGCACGUAAAGGUGGGGACUCUGGCGGGACUGCCACCGCAAGGUGAGAGGAAGGGGGGGAUGACGUCAAAUCAGCACGGCCCUUACGCCCGGGGCGACACACGUGUUACAAUGGGCGCUACAGAGGGAAUCUACUUGGUGACAAGAUGGUAAUCUCGAAAAGCGCUCUCAGUCCGGAUCGGAGUCUGCAACUCGACCCCAUGAAGCUGGAUUCGCCAGUAAUCGCGCAUCAGCCAUGGCGCGGUGAAUACGUUCCCGG